CGCGAAGCGCCGCCGCACCGGCCAGCUGCCCCAAAAGUACAGACAGCCGCGACCGCCUCCUGAGCUCCGCCUUCCAGGCGGCCAACAUGUCUGCCUCCCGACCUCCGCUGCAAUUCGUGGCCUCUUCCACCUGCAGGUCGUUGUCUCCUACUACUGCAGGUCGCUGCCUCCUCCUUCUGUAGAUCGAUGGCUAUCUACUAGGUGCGUGAGCGUGAUGUUGAACUGAACGAUAAGCAUCAUCUGAACCAUAUGGGGGUUUAAUCAUGUAUAGCCACAGCGAUAGUGGAUGAGAGUACGUUGCUGAGCACCACUCGAUGACAAAAUGGUCAUCACAAGAUUCCCAAUGGAGAAAAUAAAAGAAGAUGGUGGUUUGAUAUCAGGAAGCAAGUGCUAGUACUAUAACAAGUCCAACUCAUCAUCGCCCAGACCAAUGUUGAAUCAAGUUCAGUUUUGUACGUAAGAGGUUCAGCCAUUUUUCUCUACUACUGAAACCAAUCAUUUGACAGGGAGUUCAAACUUUCUGUACAGGAAAGUGCACAUCCUAUUUCCCACACUUUUCUAUUUUUGAUCGCACAAACAUUUAAAAUAAAAUGUUUUAUUGAGAAGCUCACACACUACCAUCUCAAAUGUUCAGGUUUUCUUUUCCGUAAAGUUCAUAUUUUUUCUAAAAUGGAGUACUCUUCAGUUAAAUUUUGUAAAAAGAAAAAACAUCCUGAAUAGCAAGGACAAUUCAACAACAAGACCUAUAGUAGUUCAUCAGUAUGUAUCCACUAGAAAAAAUCAAGUUAUGAUGUUAGUCUUGGCAUUCAUCUUUUCAGAAUAUCGAGUAAAUAAGCAACUUCGGCAUGCCAAUGGGACCUUUUCA